AUGUUCAUCUCGUUGUUGAUCCAUGGACUAGAGAAUCUCGUGGAUUUGGUUUUGUAACAAUGUCCAACGUUGAUGAGGCUGAUCGAUGUAUUAAGUAUUUGAACCGAUCUGUUCUUGAAGGCCGUGUCAUCACGGUGGAGAAGCUUCAGCAGGUUAGCUGUGUGUAGCAGCUCUUCAUCAAUCUCCAAAGUUCUUACCACAACUAAACAAACAAAUCAAACACACCAAGAAGUUUCAGACUGUUAGGGUUGUAUGCCCUGCAUUUCUCUCCUUUUUUUAGCAAUUAAAUAUUGUGCUGCUUAAGUUAUAUCUCAUACCAAUUUUGUUAUCACUUCAUUUGUUAUGAAUGUUUUACUCUCUUAAUACAUAGGGAUGGAUGUAUACAUUGGAAAGGAGUAAAUUUUAUUAACAUCUUUCUAUUACAGUUGUU